rnacentral:rRNA from 1 species
AUUGAACGCUGGCGGCAGGCUUAACACAUGCAAGUCGAGCGAGCGGCGGACGGGUGAGUAACGUCUGGGAAACUGCCUGAUGGCUGGGGAUAACUACUGGAAACGGUGGCUAAUACCGCAAACCAUCAGAUGUGCCCAUAUGGGAUUAGCUAGUAGGUGGGGUAAUGGCUCACAUAGGCGACGAUCCCUAGCUGGUCUGAGAGGAUGACCAGCCACACUGGAACUGAGAGACGGUCCAGACUCCUACGGGAGGCAGCAGUGGGGAAUAUUGCACAAUGGGCGCAAGCCUGAUGCAGCCGUGCCGCGUGUAUGAAGAAGGCAUUCGGGUUUUAAAGUACUUUCAGCGGGGAGGCGUUACCCGCAGAAGAAGCACCGGCUAACUCCGUGCCAGCCGCCGCGGUAAUUC